GGCUUAGAGUUUGAUCAUGGCUCAGGAUGAACGCUGGCGGCGUGCCCAACACAUGCAAGUCGAGCGAAGCACUUUGCUUUGAAUCUUUCGGGAGGACGAGUGAUUUGACUGAGCGGCGGACGGGUGAGUAACGCGUGGGCAACCUGCCUCACACAGGGGGAUAACAGUUAGAAAUGACUGCUAAUACCGCAUAAGGCCACAGCACCGCAUGGUGCAGGGGUAAAAACUCCGGUGGUGUGAGAUGGGCCCGCGUCUGAUUAGGUAGUUGGUGAGGUAACGGCUCACCAAGCCGACGAUCAGUAGCCGACCUGAGAGGGUGACCGGCCACAUUGGGACUGAGACACGGCCCAAACUCCUACGGGAGGCAGCAGUGGGGAAUAUUGCACAAUGGGGGAAACCCUGAUGCAGCGACGCCGCGUGAGCGAUGAAGUAUUUCGGUAUGUAAAGCUCUAUCAGCAGGGAAGAAACUGACGGUACCUGACUAAGAAGCACCGGCUAAAUACGUGCCAGCAGCCGCGGUAAUACGUAUGGUGCAAGCGUUAUCCGGAUUUACUGGGUGUAAAGGGAGCGUAGACGGACUUGCAAGUCUGAAGUGAAAGCCCGGGGCUCAACCCCGGGACUGCUUUGGAAACUGUAGGUCUAGAGUGCUGGAGAGGUAAGU
rnacentral:rRNA from 1 species